AGAGUUUGAUCAUGGCUCAGGAUGAACGCUAGCUACAGGCUUAACACAUGCAAGUCGAGGGGAAACGAUAUUGGAAGCUUGCUUCCGAUAGGCGUCGACCGGCGCACGGGUGAGUAACGCGUAUCCAACCUGCCCACCACUUGGGGAUAACCUUGCGAAAGUAAGACUAAUACCCAAUGACGUCUCUAGAAGACAUCUGAAGGAGAUUAAAGAUUUAUCGGUGAUGGAUGGGGAUGCGUCUGAUUAGCUUGUUGGCGGGGUAACGGCCCACCAAGGCAACGAUCAGUAGGGGUUCUGAGAGGAAGGUCCCCCACAUUGGAACUGAGACACGGUCCAAACUCCUACGGGAGGCAGCAGUGAGGAAUAUUGGUCAAUGGGCGAGAGCCUGAACCAGCCAAGUAGCGUGCAGGAAGACGGCCCUAUGGGUUGUAAACUGCUUUUAUAAGGGAAUAAAGUUAGUCUCGUGAGACUUUUUGCAUGUACCUUAUGAAUAAGGACCGGCUAAUUCCGUGCCAGCAGCCGCGGUAAUACGGAAGGUCCGGGCGUUAUCCGGAUUUAUUGGGUUUAAAGGGAGCGUAGGCCGGAGAUUAAGCGUGUUGUGAAAUGUAGACGCUCAACGUCUGCACUGCAGCGCGAACUGGUUUCCUUGAGUACGCACAAAGUGGGCGGAAUUCGUGGUGUAGCGGUGAAAUGCUUAGAUAUCACGAAGAACUCCGAUUGCGAAGGCAGCUCACUGGAGCGCAACUGACGCUGAAGCUCGAAAGUGCGGGUAUCGAACAGGAUUAGAUACCCUGGUAGUCCGCACGGUAAACGAUGGAUGCCCGCUGUUGGUCUGAACAGGUCAGCGGCCAAGCGAAAGCAUUAAGCAUCCCACCUGGGGAGUACGCCGGCAACGGUGAAACUCAAAGGAAUUGACGGGGGCCCGCACAAGCGGAGGAACAUGUGGUUUAAUUCGAUGAUACGCGAGGAACCUUACCCGGGCUUGAAUUGCAGAGGAAGGAUUUGGAGACAAUGACGCCCUUCGGGGUCUCUGUGAAGGUGCUGCAUGGUUGUCGUCAGCUCGUGCCGUGAGGUGUCGGCUUAAGUGCCAUAACGAGCGCAACCCCUCUCCUUAGUUGCCAUCAGGUUAAGCUGGGCACUCUGGGGACACUGCCACCGUAAGGUGUGAGGAAGGUGGGGAUGACGUCAAAUCAGCACGGCCCUUACGUCCG
rnacentral:rRNA from 1 species